CACCUGGUUGAUCCUGCCAGUAGUCAUAUGCUUGUCUCAAAGAUUAAGCCAUGCAUGUCUAAGUAUAAGCUUUAAACGGCGAAACUGCGAAUGGCUCAUUAAAACAGUUAUAGUUUAUUUGGUGAUCGAUUACUAUUUGGAUAACCGUAGUAAUUCUAGAGCUAAUACAUGCGUCAAGGCCCGACUUCGGAAGGGCUGCGUUUAUAGAUACA
rnacentral:ncRNA from 1 species